GUGAAUCAUCGAAUUUUUGAACGCAAAUUGCACUCUCCUCGGAUAGUAUGGCUGUUUGAGGGUCAGCCUAUAAAAUAUCGACAUCGUUGCUUUUUCGCUGUGUCUUUGUUCUGAAAUUUGGUCAUCUUAAAGCCUUUUGGUUUUUAAGCGACUUAAAAUUUGCUUUGUGGUUCCGUGAACGUUUCUAAUAUUUAUUUCUUUACACGUUUAAGAUAUCGAUUUUUAUUAGACUUUACCAUCAUAUCGAGUCGCGGCCAUAAUCUUUCCUUAACUAUCCUCAUACAGGUAAGAGUACCCGCUU
rnacentral:misc_RNA from 1 species